UACGAAGGGGGCUAGCGUUGCUCGGAAUCACUGGGCGUAAAGGGUGCGUAGGCGGGUCUUUUAAGUCAGGGGUGAAAUCCUGGAGCUCAACUCCAGAACUGCCUUUGAUACUGAAGAUCUUGAGUUCGGGAGAGGUGAGUGGAACUGCGAGUGUAGAGGUGAAAUUCGUAGAUAUUCGCAAGAACACCAGUGGCGAAGGCGGCUCACUGGCCCGAUACUGACGCUGAGACACGAAAGCGUGGGUAGCAAACAGG
rnacentral:rRNA from 1 species